rnacentral:rRNA from 1 species
CAGGCUUAACACAUGCAAGUCGAGGGGCAUCAGGAAGAAAGCUUGCUUUCUUUGCUGGCGACCGGCGCACGGGUGAGUAACACGUAUCCAACCUGCCCUUUACUCGGGGAUAGCCUUUCGAAAGAAAGAUUAAUACCCGAUAGCAUAAUGAUUCCGCAUGGUUUCAUUAUUAAAGGAUUCCGGUAAAGGAUGGGGAUGCGUUCCAUUAGGUUGUUGGUGAGGUAACGGCCCACCAAGCCUUCGAUGGAUAGGGGUUCUGAGAGGAAGGUCCCCCACAUUGGAACUGAGACACGGUCCAAACUCCUACGGGAGGCAGCAGUGAGGAAUAUUGGUCAAUGGGCGCUAGCCUGAACCAGCCAAGUAGCGUGAAGGAUGAAGGCUCUAUGGGUCGUAAACUUCUUUUAUAUAAGAAUAAAGUGCAGUAUGUAUACUGUUUUGUAUGUAUUAUAUGAAUAAGGAUCGGCUAACUCAGUGCCAGCAGCCGCGGUAAUACGGAGGAUCCGAGCGUUAUCCGGAUUUAUUGGGUUUAAAGGGAGCGUAGGUGGACUGGUAAGUCAGUUGUGAAAGUUUGCGGCUCAACCGUAAAAUUGCAGUUGAUACUGUCAGUCUUGAGUACAGUAGAGGUGGGCGGAAUUCGUGGUGUAGCGGUGAAAUGCUUAGAUAUCACGAAGAACUCCGAUUGCGAAGGCAGCUCACUGGACUGCAACUGACACUGAUGCUCGAAAGUGUGGGUAUCAAACAGGAUUAGAUACCCUGGUAGUCCACACAGUAAACGAUGAAUACUCGCUGUUUGCGAUAUACAGUAAGCGGCCAAGCGAAAGCAUUAAGUAUUCCACCUGGGGAGUACGCCGGCAACGGUGAAACUCAAAGGAAUUGACGGGGGCCCGCACAAGCGGAGGAACAUGUGGUUUAAUUCGAUGAUACGCGAGGAACCUUACCCGGGCUUAAAUUGCAGUGGAAUGAUGUGGAAACAUGUCAGUGAGCAAUCACCGCUGUGAAGGUGCUGCAUGGUUGUCGUCAGCUCGUGCCGUGAGGUGUCGGCUUAAGUGCCAUAACGAGCGCAACCCUUAUCUUUAGUUACUAACAGGUUAUGCUGAGGACUCUGGAGAGACUGCCGUCGUAAGAUGUGAGGAAGGUGGGGAUGACGUCAAAUCAGCACGGCCCUUACGUCCGGGGCUACACACGUGUUACAAUGGGGGGUACAGAAGGCAGCUACCUGGCGACAGGAUGCUAAUCCCAAAAACCUCUCUCAGUUCGGAUCGAAGUCUGCAACCCGACUUCGUGAAGCUGGAUUCGCUAGUAAUCGCGCACCAGCCAUGGCGCGGUGAAUACGUUCCCGGGCCUUGUACACACCGCCCGUCAAGCCAUGAAAGCCGGGGGUACCUGAAGUACGUAACCGCAAGGAGCGUCCUAGGGUAAAACUGGUAAUUGGGGCUAAGUC